rnacentral:rRNA from 1 species
AACGUAGGAGGCAAGCGUUAUCCGGAUUUACUGGGCGUAAAGCGCAUGCAGGCGGUUUGGAAAGUUGGAUGUGAAAGCUCCUGGCUUAACCGGGAGAGGUCGUUCAAUACUUCCAGGCUAGAGGAUGUGAGAGGAGAGUGGAAUUCCGAGUGUAGUGGUGAAAUGCGUAGAUAUUCGGAGGAACACCAGUGGCGAAAGCGGCUCUCUGGCACAUUUCUGACGCUCAUAUGCGAAAGCUAGGGUAG